GUGCCCAUGAUGUAGCGGUAGCCUACCGCCUUGCCAUGGCGGACGUGCGGGUUCGACUCCCGCUGGGCACU
rnacentral:tRNA from 1 species